UACGUAGGGGCAAGCGUUGUCCGGAAUCAUUGGGCGUAAAGAGCGUGUAGGCGGCCCGGUAAGUCCGCCGUGAAAGUCCAGGGCUCAACCCUGGGAUGCCGGUGGAAACUGUCGGGCUCGAGUCCGGAAGAGGCGAGUGGAAUUCCCGGUGUAGCGGUGAAAUGCGCAGGAUAUCGGGAAGGAACACCUAUGGCGAAGGCAGCUCGCUGGGACGUUACUGACGCUGAGGAGCGAAAGCGUGGGGAGCGAAACAGG
rnacentral:rRNA from 1 species